AAUAAUGAUUCUUCUGUGGUGGGGGUGGGGGGUGUCGGUCUUUCGCAACGUGGAGGUCUCUUAAAAAAAGAAAAGCACAGCUUCCCUAAUUCCCAGCAAUGUGGGAACUCUUUGGGGGGCUUGGAGAAAACUACCACUUGCCACAGCUCAAGGCUGCGUAACUGGCCUACGCAUCGGGGGAGGGGGGGGAGCUCUGAUUUCCUCAACGCAGGUGCAGCGCUGCGUCCACCAGACAUAAAUAAAAUAAACAAAAUGCGCCAGAUCCUCCCUUUGUCAGGACAGGAAAACGAAGGGGUCCGUUGCCGCGCCGCACUUCUACUUAUCAACGCCCCUCACGACCCAUCGC